rnacentral:rRNA from 1 species
UACAGAGGUCUCAAGCGUUGUUCGGAUUCAUUGGGCGUAAAGGGUGCGUAGGUGGCGGGGUAAGUCUGGUGUGAAAUCUCGGGGCUCAACCCCGAAACUGCACUGGAUACUGCCUUGCUCGAGUACUGGAGAGGCGAGUGGAAUUCCUGGUGUAGCGGUGGAAUGCGCAGAUAUCAGGAGGAACACCAACGGCGAAGGCAGCUCGCUGGGACGGUACUGACACUGAGGCGCGAAAGCGUGGGGGAGCGAACAGG